ensembl:lncRNA
AUGAUGAAACUCUACUUGCGUCCUUUUUUUUUAGCAGAGCAAACAGGUUUGCACGAACGCUAUGAGAUCAAGGUGGGUUUUAUGUCAAAUCCUUUCAGAUUAAACUCGUUUACAUUUUGUUUACACGUUGUCACUUUUCUUAGCGGUGCAGCUGUUUUCACAAGAAAGAAUCCAUUUCCUCCGGAUCCCCCUUUGCCCAGGAGCCACUACAGUCCAUCUAGAUCCAGAAAAACCCCAAAGCAACAAAAAAGACUGGCCUUGAGUCCUGUCCGGUUUACUGAGCCACCCAGUCCUUCAGAUCUUCCUACUCAGGCGUCACCUUUGAGGACAAAGGACCAGGUCCUCCAUGAAAGUGUCCUGCUCUGUCCCCCUUCUGCUGAAUGCCAGCUGAGCUACUCCGAGUCUUGGCCUUCUACUGACCUGAGUUGCUCUACAGACAACAAUAACACUUCUGUCUGCUCUGAAGUUCAGAUGCAAGCCAUGAGAAACAUGGUUGCACCAACAAUAAUUGAGGCAAAGGAACCCUCAGUUCUUGCAAAGUACAUUGAACGCUUCCGUUUCGGAAAGCCACAGAGUCCAGACGAAAGACGACUUCAGGCAGCUGUUGCAGAAGAUGACCAGCCGUUUUGGUGGAUGUCCACAUCGCCUGCAUCCAGUUCAACACCAACACACCCAUCAGAGAAAUAUAUCAGAGCACCACUUGACCUCAUGAAGGAUGACCCGGCCAGCACUCAGAGCCCAAUCACAAAGCUACAGCAUGAUGAAACCACGCUGUCUCCAGCUAGACACAUGCUCGACCUUAGUAUGCUGACAUUAUCUGAAUCAUCCCACUGUGAUCAAGAAGAACCAGAGAUACUGCAGCUGCAGGAGCGAGCCAGCCGUUUACUGCAGAGGAGUGGGCAUUCCCUCAGCAGUGGCUCCAUGCCUAUCAGCUCUGAGGGUCUGGGCUGCUCUGAUUUCUCCUCCCCCGUAAGCACCGAUGAGCCGGUCCGAAGACCACUCGUGUCCACGUUAAUGGGCUCAACCAACAGUAAGUAAGGAAAGGAAAGGAUGUGAUGUGUGGCUAAGCAUGGUGACCCAUCCGAGUGCACACACACAGAAGUGAGAAGUGAACAAACACACACACACACACACUGUGAACACACCCUGAGCAGUGGGCAACCAAUGCUGCAGCACCCGAGGAGCAGUUGGGGGUUUGGUGCCUUACUCAAGGGUCUCACCUCAGUCGUGGUAUUGAGGGUGGAGGAGGGCACUGGUCAUUCACUCCCCCCACCUACAAUCCCUGCCGGACCUGAUACUCAAACUUGAAACCUUUGGGUUACAAGUCCGACUCUCUAACCAUUAGGCCACGACUGCCCUCGUAAAGUAACAACUUUAAAGGGUUAGUUCACCCAAAAAUAAAAAUUAGGCCAUAAAUUACUCA